rnacentral:rRNA from 1 species
UACGUAGGGGGCGAGCGUUGUCCGGAAUUACUGGGCGUAAAGGGUGCGUAGGCGGCGAUUUAAGUUGGAUGUGAAAUACCCGGGCUUAACCUGGGGGGUGCAUUCAAAACUGGAUGGCUAGAGUGCAGGAGAGGGAAGCGGAAUUCCUAGUGUAGCGGUGAAAUGCGUAGAUAUUAGGAGGAACACCAGUGGCGAAGGCGGCUUUCUGGACUGUAACUGACGCUGAUGCACGAAAGCGUGGGGAGCAAACAGG